rnacentral:tRNA from 2 species
UGGGCGGUCGUCUAAUGGUAGGACGGCGGGUUUUGGUCCCGUAAAUGUUGGUUCGAGUCCAGCCCGCCCAGCCA